AAAUUGAAGAGUUUGAUCAUGGCUCAGAUUGAACGCUGGCGGCAGGCCUAACACAUGCAAGUCGAACGGUAACAGGAAACAGUUUGCUGUUUCGCUGACGAGUGGCGGACGGGUGAGUAAUGUCUGGGAAACUGCCUGAUGGAGGGGGAUAACUACUGGAAACGGUAGCUAAUACCGCAUAACGUCGCAAGACCAAAGAGGGGGACCUU
rnacentral:rRNA from 1 species